AGCUGCGUGGUGAGCACAAAGCGAACUAUUCUUUAACGUUUUGCUAAAAAAUACCGUGUGCACUCCACAAAAAGCAGCAUACUCUAAUUUUGGAGGGUCCUUUCUCAUUGAGGCGCC